ACAGACCUGAAUCUGCUUCUCUUGACUCAACUUAUGACCUUCACUGCAAGAUAAAAUAAAGCCAACAGAGCGUGGAGCAGUGUCUGGCAGUGCCACAUACCUCCCACUCUCCCUCGUAUCUGACUCAUCCGGCAGCACUCUGGCAAUUCUCUCCUAGGAGCCAUUACCCAAUUAUUAGGUAGUGAAGCUUUUACAGGAGAAACAGAGAGGGGUCCACCCUCCAAUUUUCCCUCCACUUGAUCACUUACAUAACUGCAGAACUAGAGAGACGCUGGAAUGCCAGAGGCCUCACAGCAAUGAUACUGCGUUUAUCAGCAAGGUGGCUCUUGUUAUCCAGGUUUAUUCUUUGGGAAAUUCUCCAGCCUUCAGUCUUCCUUUCCAGUGAGUCAGGCAGUAUAAAGCGGGCUUCACUUCAGUCCUGUGAUCAACAAGUCAGGAGAAGAGUAUUUAUUGAUAAGAGGGAACAGGGUCGUCGGUUCAAGUUUUGUGGCUAAGAAGAGACGGUCAUAGUUUAGCUUCCAAUCUGAAUUUUAUGCUUCCUUUAAGGAGAAGUUUGACAUUUUAGGAAAUAUGCUUAUUUGCUUUCUUGCCAAGAAUGAAAAGAUUGCUCAUAUUAAAUAU